rfam:Triticum aestivum genome assembly, contig: Triticum_aestivum_CS42_TGACv1_scaffold_404328_5BL
AUAGUACUCCCUCCGUUCGGAAUUACUUGUCCUGAAAAUGGAUGUAUCUAGAACUAAAAUACGUCUAGAUACAUCCAUUUUUGCGACAAGUAAUUCCGAACAGAGGGAGUACAAA